rnacentral:lncRNA from 1 species
GACAGAUCAAGGACUCUGCCAGAAUAGUUAGCUCCUGCACUAACAGGAAAUUUUACUACCCUACUGAUCUUAGAAGUUGAGUCUUCAUCAUUAUAGGAGAACUUUUAGGUUACAGCCUGAAUGGAUGAUUGAGCACUCAGGGAAGGGGUAUGAUUGACCCAGGAAACACAGUGCAAUUUGCGUGUGCUUCCUACAUGACCAGAAAGGGUGGACCCAGGGCUCCUCCCACCCCUUGGGCUCAUUUAAGGGUUAGCCUCUGAAAGGAGAAUGUCUUCUGAGUGAAGGUUAUUUUCUGAGAAGGAGUGCUUUACAGCCAGAGGUCCUCAUCACGAGCUAGUGAUCAAAAAAUAGAAUGUAAUGGUGUAAUUAAAGGCUGGACCCCAUACACAGAAGGAGCCAAUUAUGUGGCCAUUUUCAUAUCCACAGAGGAGGAAACUGAAAAGGAAGGGGAAAAAAAAUGAAGUGAGCUGAGAAGCAUGAGUGUGGAGUUUUCUGCCUGCCAGACAGCCUGAACAGCUCUAUGAGCCUCCCCACAGGGUAACAUCUCUUACCUUCAAAGGUCAAAGACUGUGAGAAGAGGAAAAGCUCCCUCAGGCAAACAUAGCAGGUACUAGCUGAAAGUCUGGCAGACUAUGUAACACACAAGUGCUCAUACUCCAGUGUGUCAAAAUUACAAGAAUACUUCCUCUGCAGCAUGAACACAUGAGCUGGCUUGCAUGGGAUGCAGUUUGGUAGGAGGCACCUCAAGCAGCCUUAACAUUAAACCAAGCAACAUUCAUGCAGAACCACUCUGAUUAUGUCCUUCACCCACACCCUUCAUAACCAUCAACCAUUUUACUUCCCACUGUAGUCCUUCAUGACUGAAAAAAAAAAAAAGGCAAGGCAGGUACUGCUAAUGAUGUGUAGAGAGAUAGCCUCUUAUAAUAUUUUGCACAAAUCUAACUAGUGGAUUUUGCAGAACUACUAAAGAAAGCAUGUUAUAUUACAUUAACCAAAACAUCAAAAAAUCUCUGAAUUUACCAAGAAGUUAUUCCCCGCGAAUACUAUGGUAUGUAAUGUCACACACUUCCCCUCU